GAUGAACGCUAGCGGCAGGCUUAACACAUGCAAGUCGAGGGGCAGCAUAAAAGUAGCAAUACUUUGGUGGCGACCGGCGCACGGGUGAGUAACGCGUAUGCAACCUACCUAUCAGAGGGGAAUAACCCGGCGAAAGUCGGACUAAUACCGCAUAAAACAGGGGCACCGCAUGGUGAUAUUUGUUAAAGAAAUUCGCUGAUAGAUGGGCAUGCGUUCCAUUAGGUAGUUGGUGAGGUAACGGCUCACCAAGCCGACGAUGGAUAGGGGAACUGAGAGGUUGGUCCCCCACACUGGUACUGAGACACGGACCAGACUCCUACGGGAGGCAGCAGUGAGGAAUAUUGGUCAAUGGGCGAGAGCCUGAACCAGCCAAGUCGCGUGAAGGAAGAAGGAUCUAUGGUUCGUAAACUUCUUUUGCAGGGGAGUAAAGUGCGGGACGUGUCCUGUUUUGUAUGUACCCUGAGAAUAAGGAUCGGCUAACUCCGUGCCAGCCGCCGCCGUAA
rnacentral:rRNA from 1 species